UACAGAGGUCCCAAGCGUUGUUCGGAUUCAUUAGGCGUAAAGGGUGCGUAGGCGGCGCGGUAAGUCGGGUGUGAAAUCUCGGAGCUUAACUCCGAAACUGCAUUCGAUACUGCCGUGCUUGAGGACUGGAGAGGAGACUGGAAUUUACGGUGUAGCGGUGAAAUGCGUAGAUAUCUGCAGGAACACCCGUGGCGAAAGCGGCGCGCUGGACCACUACUGACGCUGAGGAACGAAAGCUAGGGGAGCAAACAGG
rnacentral:rRNA from 1 species